GAGAGGGUGACCGAUCGUGGGAAGGAAGUGUGGAGUGAAGCCGCGAGCCGAUGAACAAGAACCGGAUAGAAGGCGGUGCCGAUCAGGGCGAGCAGCCAAACAACUGCAAAGCUCUCGUGGUCAAGGGUCAGGCGGCGUAAAUCCGGCGGUUGUGCGGUGAAGGAUUGCGUUC
rfam:Burkholderia xenovorans LB400 chromosome 1, complete sequence.